UUUACAGAAUCUGGCUUCAGG
rnacentral:piRNA from 1 species